rnacentral:lncRNA from 1 species
GGGGCACCAACUCCUAUAAGAUGCCAUUAAAUUGUAGCAGGCUAAAUGUAGCAUAUCUUCAUUACAAUAAAGCAGACAUUUUGCACUUGUUCUUUUAUAUGUAUCUUUCAGAGUGUCGGAGAAAAUGCAAAAACAAGCAAAAGUCACAAUUGAGAACCUGACCUUGACCUUUGACCUUGACCUCAUUUUCUAAGUUAGGACCUAGGGGCAUCAAAUAAAAACAUUACAGGGUUAUACGGUUAACUGUUUAUGAGUUAAAAAAACAUACCGACAAAUUUAUUUUGUAAAGGUAGAUAACUCCUAUUAAAUGUCAUCGAAUCGC